CCCUUAGAUGUUCUGGGCCGCACGCGUGCUACACUGAGUGGAUCAGCGGGUCAGGUUGCGCGAAAGCGUUUCCUAAUCUUUAAAUCCGCUCGUGAUGGGGAUUGACGGUUGCAAUUUUCUGUCAUGAACGAGGAAUACCUUGUAAGCGCGGGUCAUCAUCCCGCGCUGAAUACGUCCCUGCCCUUUGUACACACCGCCCGUCGCUCCUACCGAUUGAGUGGUCCGGUGAGGCUUUGGGAUCUGAGCGGAAAGAGCGUUUCGCUGUUUCUGCUCGGAAGACUCAGUCGAACCUUAUCAUUUAGAGGAAGGAGAAGUCGUAACA
rnacentral:rRNA from 1 species